rnacentral:hammerhead_ribozyme from 1 species
AUGUACCCGAAGAGACCCAGAACUGGUCGAAACAUGUGUUGUACUU